ACGGCGAAUGCCAGUGGAACUACAUUGGACUUCAGUGUCGGCGGUUCGAGUCCGCCUCCGGCUUCGGCUGGGUAGCUCAGUCGGGUAGAGCAUGAGGCUGUUUCACGACCAACUCGUCGCCGUGAC
rnacentral:Y_RNA from 1 species